AUGGCUCAGGAUGAAGCCUGGCGCGUGCCUAACACAUGCAAGUCGAACGAAGCACUCCGGUUUGAGAUUCGUCAAGAACUGGAUUUGACUUAGUGGCGACGGGUGAGUAAUGUAUGAGCAACCUGCCUUUCAGAGGGGGACAACAGUUGGAAACGACUGCUAAUACCGCAUAAUGUAUUGAGGAGGCAUCUCCACGAUACCAAAGGAGCAAUCCGCUGAAAGAUGGGCUCAUAUCUGAUUAGUUAGUUUGGCAGGGUAAUGGCCUACCAAGACUGCGAUCAGUAGCCGGACUGAGAGGUUGAACGGCCACAUUGGGACUGAGAUACGGCCCAGACUCCUACGGGAGGCAGCAGUGGGGAAUAUUGGGCAAUGGGCGAAAGCCUGAACCUCAGCAACGCCGCGUGAAGGAAGAAGGUCUUCGGAUUGUAAACUUCUUUUAUGAGGGACGAAGGACGUGACGGUACCUCAUGAAUAAGCCACGGCUAACUACGUGCCAGCCGCCGC
rnacentral:rRNA from 1 species